GAAGAAGAAGAAGAAAAAAUUCCCACAGCUAAAAUUUCAAGUAAAGGCAAUUUUGAACUAGAGCCCACCUAUAAUUUAAGUGACUUGGGAGGCUGAUGCAGAAAGGAUCACAAGUUUGAAACCAGGAAGACCUGCCUCAACAAAAUCGGGCUUUCUCCUUAGUCCACCUGAGCUUCCAUCUUCUGGGCAGAUAGGUUCAACUGAUUCCACCCUGCCAUACGCUGAGUGACACAGACAAGAGCAGAGUGCACGUUAUUUCUUCUCCCGAACCAGGAUGAACUCUGAAUGCAGAUCUGACACCCUCUUCUCAGAUCCCAGAGGCUUCUGCCCCACACCCUCCACACUCAGAUGUUCUCCUGCUGAGAGCAAAGAAGGGAAAAAGAAGCACAGUCUACAAGAAUGGGAUUGGAAAAUUGAGAUAUGUUCAAAAUAGAAGUUAAGCAUCCCAAAUGAAAAAAAUCUGGAAUGUUCUAAAAUCUGAACUUAUUUGAGUACUAUCAUCAGGCCACCAAUGGAAAAUUUCAUAUCUGACCUCAUGUGACAGGUUUCAGUCAAAAUAUGGCACAUUAAAAAUGUUGUAUAUAAUUAUCUUCAAGCUAUGUGUAUGAAGUGUAUAUGAAACAUACAUCAUUUUCUAUUUAGACUUUGGUCUUAUGCCCAAAAUAUCUAGUUAUAUAUAUGUAAAUAUUCUGAAUCUGAAAAAAUUCCCAAAUAUGUAAUAUUUCUUCUGGUCUCAAGCUUUGACUAAAGAAUACUUGACCUGCAUUGAAUUGGAUUUUAUCUGUUUGCACACUCCAGGGGUAGAAACAGGAAGGUGAUAUGGGGGAAGGUUCUGGGGUACUAGUAAUGUUCUAUGUUUUGCUCUGAGUUCUGACUUCUUAGCCUUGCUUAGUUUUUGAAAAAUACUUGCAGAUACACACUUAACAUUUGCAUAUCUCCUUAUAGGCAAGAAUAUGUUAUUCUUUAGCAAAAUGUUUACUUGUAAAUUCUUAUUCUUUCACAUCUAUUUGCAUAUUCAUAAAGACCCAUACAAACUUCUCAACGGGUGGCACUUGUAAAAAACAAAAUAUCAAUUUUAGAGAAAUAAAGAUGUCACCUUUUCUCCACAGAUGAGUUGAAUGUAAGUAUGUGACUUCACUUUAUGAGCUUUUGCUAAAGAAAACUUGUCAAAAAUCCACAAAGACUCUCCAUUUCCAUAGGAAAAAAAUUUAGGCUAGUGCUAUAUUAAAUAUUAUCUAGAAUGACAAGUGUUGUAGAAUCAAUUCCAUACGACAGAAAUUAAUGAGGAGAUUUAGUCAUUAUGGUACCAGAUCUGUGUAUUAUCAUAGAUGCUUGAGCGGUUGAAACACAUUUCUUAUAUUUUAUUGUUAUUUUGUUAUAUUUUGGAAAAUAGUGCAAGCAGGGAAAUAGUGCAAGCAUAUACUUUCCAAUAUUUUUGGAGACCUUAAAUUAACUUUAACAAAAACCUUCCCUGAAUUGUCAGUAGUCUUAGAAUACAGAGGCAUAAGGAGGAAAAGAGAAAGAAGAAAGUGGGUCAAUUGCCUUUUAACAGUUGUAAAAUAUUAGGUGAACCAUGUAACCCUUCAGGCUACUUCUUCAACAAGUGAAAUAAUUCUCACAUCUGCCCACCCCACAGUCUUGCAGUGAGAUUAAUGAGAUGCUGAAUGUCUAAGUCCUUUGCAAAAUGCAAACACAGGACACUUCUUGAUCAUUGUAAAUCUGACUUGAGAAAUGGGAGGCAGCAUGUGUCCCCACUCUGUAAAACUCUGGUGGUAGCUUCGUAUUUCCAGAGCUUUGGUACUUUGCCUAAUGAUCUAAAAGAAGUAGCAUGGGUCAUCUUAUUGGUCCCUUAUGAUAUUUCAUAAUUUGUUAUAUGAAAUGAUGUAUCUCUAAAAUAGUUUGUGCUGUAUGAAGGCAACUUCUCUGUGGGUUAUGAUAAUUCUUGUGUUACAUUCAGUUCUGCCCGACAGUUGCAGACAUUGCUAGUGUCCAUUUCAUGUCCUUCUUUCAAGCACUUCGGUGAGUAUCCAUAAAUUCUAACCCUCUGACCCUAUGUCACCCUGUCUGGAGGUUUUUCUGGUGAGUGAGGCUGAUGUGCUGAAUCAUAGAAGGUGCUGGAAGUCUCAGAGAAUUAACAUUCCUAGAGGCAGCACUCAGUGAGCAUCCCAGCUCCCUUGUCCCUGAAAAGUGCUGACCCUGGGGCUUGCGUCCUACACUGACAGCCGUCUCUAGCUGGUUGGUUUCCAUACCUAUUAUGAGUGCCUUCAUGUCUCUGUCUCACUUCCAACUGUCCUGUGGUGUUUUCUUCACUUCCCAGAUACACUCAUUGCAUUCAUAUCCCUGUUUCAAGGUCUGCCUCUGUUAAAUCUCAAACCAAGACAGACCCAA